AUUGAACGCUGGCGGCAGGCUUAACACAUGCAAGUCGAGCGAGCGGCGGACGGGUGAGUAAUGUGUGGGAAACUGCCUGAUGGGGGGGGAUAAAUACUGGAAACGGUAGAUAAUAACGCAUACCAUCAGAUGUGCCCAGAUGGGAUUAGCUAGGAGGUGGGGUAAUGGCUACCCUAGGCGACGAUCCCUAGCUGGUCUGAGAGGAUGACCAGCCACUUUGGAAUUGAGACACGGUCCAGACUCCUCCGGUAGGCGGCAGGGGGGAAUUUUGCAAAAUGGGGGCAAGCCUGAUGAGGCCAUGCCGCGUGUGUGAAGAGGGCCUUCGGGUUGUAAAGCCCUUUCAGCGAGGAGGCGUUACUCGCAGAAGAAGCACCGGCUAACUCCGUGCCAGCAGCCGCGGUAAUUC
rnacentral:rRNA from 1 species